rnacentral:rRNA from 1 species
UACGUAGGGGGCAAGCGUUGUCCGGAAUCAUUGGGCGUAAAGAGCGUGUAGGCGGUCCGGUAAGUCCGCUGUAAAAGUCAAGGGCUCAACCCUUGAAAGCCGGUGGAUACUGCCGGGCUAGAGUCCGGAAGAGGCGAGUGGAACUCCUGGUGUAGCGGUGAAAUGCGCAGAUAUCAGGAGGAACACCAGCGGCGAAGGCGGCGCUCUGGGCCGGAACUGACGCUGAGGAGCGAAAGCGUGGGUAGCAAACAGG